GACUCCCACCAAGGAAAGGAACACUGCUGCCCUUCCAAUCAGCCUUCAAAAUGAUGGUGAAAUAAUGUAACAGGACCAGUCUUCUUUCAAAAUGCAGAGGGAAGGGAGCACCAUAACGCACCAGGAGGAAGGGCUGACUCCUUGCAGACCUUUUCUGUGCCUGCAUCUCUGUGUGUC